CUGAGGUGAUAGGAGCGUUAUCAAUUGAGUCAUUCCAGGAAAAAAGAAGAGGUAUUUCACAACAAGAUUUAAGUAUAAUUAUUUAUAUUACUUUUAACUCCGAGAAUUUGAAUGGACAAUACCUACCUCUUGAUUGUGAUACAUCAGGCUUAUAAAUUAUUACAUUCCAUAGAAAUAAAUGGAUCUUACUAAGAUCUACAUAUUUUUUUGUAUAUUAAUUUCAAUUAGUGUGGUUGUUGAUUCGUUUAAUAUCGAUAUUUCGCAUAUAAAAUAUAGAACAGAUAAAACAUCAAUCAAGAAAAAAGGUGGCCCACAAAAUUUACUCAGGCACAACAGAAAAUGUCACCGAGGUCCAUGCAGAAACGGUUUUCUAAGGGUUGGAUGUUUGUGCAGACCAGAAUUUAGAAGAUAAAGUGUUGAGAGUUACAAUAUUAUUCUUAAUUUUAUAUACUACUAAUAACCUUAAUUACUGAUAUUAAUCAAUGUUUUUUUCAUUUGAAUUUUUGUGAAAUAUGUGUUUUAUUGGAGAUACUUAUUUACUGUACUGUACAUUGUACCUUGUGUCAAUGGCCUAGCUGCUGAGACACGUUAAUUUAAAUAAAAAAAAAAUCUGAAAAUGACUUUUAA